rnacentral:rRNA from 1 species
GACAGAGGGUGCAAACGUUGUUCGGAAUUAUUGGGCGUAAAGGGCUCGUAGGCGGUCUGUUGCGUCGGGAGUGAAAACUUACAGCUUAACUGUGAGCGUGCUUCUGAUACGGGCAGACUUGAGGUAUUCAGGGGAGAACGGAAUUCCUGGUGUAGCGGUGAAAUGCGCAGAUAUCAGGAGGAACACCGGUGGCGAAGGCGGUUCUCUGGGAAUAUCCUGACGCUGAGGAGCGAAAGUGUGGGGAGCGAACAGG